ACUAACGGCAGAAGCAGCGGAUGCAAGCUUCCUGUCGCGGGGGUUUAUCAACCACAGAAGCGUCCGCACGGAAUCAGUCGUCCGCCGCAGCUGUCAGCGAAAUCUUUUUGGGCACUGUGAGGCGCAUCAAUCAACCAUGAAGCUCACCUUGGUUUUUCUCCUGCUCGUCCUCGUUGCCUUGGGCGGUGAAGCUGUUUCUGGGCUCCGGUAUGAUCGCAGUGCCAGGCGUCCAUCCCUGCGACGUAUAUUUAGCUCCCCCAAAUUCAGACGUGUUCUCGGUUUCAUCACACGUCGUGGGAGGAGCGCUGAUCCCGCAGAUUUGUGCUACGGUCGACGAGCCUGGUUGUGUCGGUAGCCGGAACAACACUGCUGAUGCGGUCAGAUGAGGUUACCACGGACAAUGAUCAAUAAAAUGUUUCCUGAACUGGUGCGGGACA